UACGUAGGUGGCAAGCGUUGUCCGGAUUUACUGGGCGUAAAGAGCGCGCAGGCGGUCGUUCAAGUCGCGUGUGAAAGCCCCCGGCUCAACUGGGGAGGGUCACGCGACACUGAUCGACUCGAAGGCAGGAGAGGGUAGUGGAAUUCCCGGUGUAGUGGUGAAAUGCGUAGAUAUCGGGAGGAACACCAGUGGCGAAGGCGACUACCUGGCCUGUUCUUGACGCUGAGGCGCGAAAGCUAGGGGAGCAAACGGG
rnacentral:rRNA from 1 species